rnacentral:lncRNA from 1 species
CACAACUAUCAGGUACCUGAGUGCAAAGACUAUUUCUGUCCUUCCUGAAAACUCCAUCUGUUUGAGCAGAUUUCCUCCUUCCACAAAAGUGUCUGUAAGAGCAUUCUAACUUCUCCACAACAGAAAGAGAUCCAGUGUUGCAUGUUGAAUGGUGUUUGGUAUUAAAUGAUUUCUGAAGGUGGGAUUCUAGAACUGAGGCUCUGUCUAAAAAUGGAUCCAUGGAGAAAGAUGCAAUAGAAUAGGCUACAUGUGCAUCCAGAAAUUGGGCACCUUUAACAUUCAUCAGUUACAGC